UAAAACUAAUUAAUACUCCCCAUAUAUAAAUAGAUAAUAUUCAAGUAACGAUAAGUACAAAAUUUGUUAUUGUAUCUCGAUAUUUCAAGGAUCAUAGUACUUACAAUAUGUAAUAACUAACAUAAGAAAACUGAAAGAAUAACAAUGAACUAGAAAAAAUGAAGUGUACAUCAUUUUAGGUCCACUUCAUUAUCAUUUUAUUAAUCAAGGAAAUCAAGGUUGGGCCUGCAAGCUUCCUGCUGUAAAAAAAACACCAAUAUUCAAUUUCAAUACGAUAAAGAAUAAGAAAAAAAUGAACCUCAACUAAUUAAUGAAAAUAUAAUACCUAUUAGUAAAUAUAAGAUAAUGACUUCAUGUUUAGUUGAUUUAAAACUUUUGACUUAUAUUAGUAACAGUAUGUCUUAGAUGUUGAACUCUAUGUAGUUGCCUUGGAAGAUCAUAGAGCUGACAUUACUAAUGACUCUGUGAAGUUAUGUGUUAGUAUUAAGUAUCAAUUCCAAUUCCAGUUCAAGUUGUGGAGUUUUAAGAAUGUGACAGAACGUACGGAUAAAAACUUAACCUUUUAAGUGCAUGUUCAGGUCAUUACCAUCAGAACUCUCUAUACAAAAGGCCAAAUAAUAUUUUAUAUAUAUAUAUAUAUAUAUAUAUAUAUAUAUAUAUAUAUAUAUAUAUAUAUGAUGGAGAGCCUAAUGCCUAAUGAUAAAAUUAAACCAUACGCAUGUGGGUUUUCUUAUUUGUCUUGGGAUAAUCCACAAUCACCGUGCCACCAUGGAGCUUGGCUGCCUCAUAACAAUUGACAAAUACAGCAUCCUUCUUGACUGUAGCAGGAACCGGAACAAUCACCUGAUAAACAUGGGGUUUUGAUGGUUGGUACUGACGCCUAUCCACAUAAAAUUGUUGUUGCUGAUGCUGCUUUUUGCCCCAUUGUGCAGCGUAUUCAAACAUGGCUAUGUCUUCAGACCCAAUCUUCAUAUGGUCUGACUCGCUUGGUGCCAUUUCUAAGUAGGUUAAAGCUAAUUAAGUCUACUUGUUUGCUUGUUUUGUUUGUUUGGUGCAUGUUGUUCUUUAACUUGAACCCCUUUAUACAUACAGAAAGCUUAGUGGAUAAGAGAGAAA
rnacentral:lncRNA from 1 species